rnacentral:rRNA from 1 species
UUCUGGUUGAUCCUGCCGGACCUGACUGCUAUCGGAUUGAUACUAAGCCAUGCGAGUUUUUGUAGCAAUACAAGGCAGACGGCUCAGUAACACGUAGUCAAUCUAACCUAUGGAUGAGGAUAACCUCGGGAAACUGAGAAUAAUACUCAAUAGAUCAUAAUGCCUGGAACGGUUUAUGGUUCAAAUGAAUUUCGCCAUAGGGUGGGACUGCGGUCUAUCAGCUUGUUGGUGAGGUAAUGGCCCACCAAGGCUAUAACAGAUACGGGCUCUGAGAGGAGAAGCCCGGAGAUGGGUACUGAGACACGGACCCAGGCCCUAUGGGGCGCAGCAGGCGAGAAAACUUUGCAAUGUGCGAAAGCACGACAAGGUUAAUCCGAGUGAUUCCUGCUAAAGGAAUCUUUUGUUAGUUGUAACACCACUGAUGAAUAAGGGGUGGGCAAGUUCUGGUGUCAGCCGCCGCGGUAAAACCAGCACCUCAAGUGGUCAGGAGGAUUAUUGGGCCUAAAGCAUCCGUAGCCGGCUCUGUAAGUUUUCGGUUAAAUCUAUAUGCUCAACAUAUAGGCUGCCGGGAAUACUGCAAAGCUAGGAAGUGGGAGAGGUAGACGGUACUCCGUAGGAAGGGGUAAAAAUCCUUUGAU